rnacentral:lncRNA from 1 species
GGGAGUCCACAUGCUUCAUUUUCUCCAGUGUUGAUCAGCUUAAUGCAUAAAAUGCCUCCAUUUCAGGAAAACCUUGUAAGCUGAAUCCCUCCAGUUCCUGCCAGCCUCAGCCUGGUCAAGCUAGAAACCAUCUGGGCCUUCGCGCAAUUUAAAAUGGGAACGUGGAGGAUGGAAUUUUACCAAGUCUAAUGCGUGCGUGUUUGUGAAUUCUUUGUCUCUCUCUCUCUCUCUCUUUUUUUUUUUUUUUUUUUGACCUCAAACUGUAAUCUCAAAUGAAGAAUAAAAGUCCUCAGGACUUCAAAGGAAAAUUGCUUUUUAAUUUCUUAGUGGAAUGGCAGUUAAGAGCAAAGCUCUCACAGCUGUACCGGAUAUAGAUUUGGAAAGUCGUUUCUCCUCAUGAUAUCAGGCCUCUUCCGUCGAAACAAUUAGAACCAGCCGAGGUUAGGAUAUCCCCUCUCCAGGGCAGCCAGACCGGGCAUGACUGUCUGAUUUGGAUUUCUGGGACUUGUUUUUCCUUUCAGUAAGGCAGGCUCUACCUCCCCCAAUCUGCUAAAUAAAAUACUAUUUGGGUCACGGGGUUUUAAAAUUAUUAUUAUUUUUAGAGGGAACUGUGUUUCUUGUUGGAGAAACAGAGAUUUUUGGAUUCAUGUGCCUGAACAACCCCGGGUCCUGUGCGUACCUGCCACUAAAGCCCGCUGUGCGCGUGCACCUGUCAGUCGGGAGCAGAAAGCACCACGCAUGCGUGCUGCGUCUGUCCACCGAGCCCCAUGGGAGGUACGCGCGCAACUGGAAGUGACCGUAAUGAAAGGAGACAGCAUCUUCCCAGUGGUGAUGGCUUCCGGGCUCCUGUACGACCCGCGGUUGGUUGCCCCCACGCCUCUUCAACUUCCCUGUUGGGAGUGCCAUUGCGCCAGCUGGGUUUUGCCCGGAUCGUCCCUGAAGCAGCUGGGACAGAACCGCAGCGACACAGAAUUGGGAGUCAUGAACACCUUUGCUACCUGCAGACGGUGGCGUACAGUGGGACUUUCGCUGAGGAGUGAAGCACGGAAGUCUGUGCCCGGAGGAAGCCACCGAAGCUGAGAAGUCAGCCCCACGUGUGGUUGCGCUGGAAAUCACAGUGCACAUCUCCUUCACUUAACAACAUUCAAGAAUAAGUUAUAUGCAGUAAGACAGUUACAUGUCUCGUGGACAGUUGGGAUCAUUUUGACAAACGUACCUGACCACGUACCCACCACCACAAUGAAGACACAGAGUGGCCCCAUCACCUGCCAAACUGGCCCCAUCCGUUCCCAGCGAGCAGUACCAGUGCCACUGGUCGGUCUUACUUUGGGCAUAUUGUAUGCGGCUGUCUAUUUGCAAACCACAUUUUCUUAGAAAGAGUUCUAUAAAAAAUGAGACUACAUUGUAAAAGUAUGUUGGAUAUUUCUCAUGAUGAAAGCUGGUACCUGCCUUAUAAGGCAAACUAUUCCAUUGGUGAAUAACUGGGAAAAACCUGCCCUGAGUGGUGUCAUAAUGUCCCUCUCUAUCACUCUUUUUUUAAUUGAGAUGUAAUUGGCAUAUGACCUUGUGUUCAUUUUAGACGUACCACAUAAUGACUUGAUGAUGUAUCUAUACGCUGUGACAUGAUCACCCCAAUAAAUU